UCUCCCCCCCUGCAGUUGAGGACGGGGUCCUUGCACAUGAUUAUGGCUGGGGCUUGAUGCCUGCACAACACUUACACUACUUCUGGCUAAGGCGAUGUCACAACAGCUGUCUGACAAGGUCUGAGCAUGGUAGGGGCCUCUGCAAGCCACCAAGUUGCAGAUGCUACUAUGAUUCCAUCCUGAACUUCAUGGGCAGAUGACCUCAGCAAUGUGUCCUGGAACCUCACCUCUCCAGAGUGGGGAAAAAUCUAGAACCGGAGGGAUGCGUCCAUCACCUCACAUAUUCUCUAGUGCCCCCUUGUGGCCAACCCCACCACCCAGCCUGUGCUAAUUAUUUCAGUUUCUACCGUCACAGAUUUGAUUUUACCUACCAUAAUUUAUAUGAUGCAUAUGUGUACACAUACAUUUAUUAACAGGUAUAUGCACACAAAUGUAAAUUCUGUAUGUAUAUUUGGUUUGACUUUAUCUUUUUUCCUCUCAGA